rnacentral:rRNA from 1 species
GACGAACGCUGGCGGCGUGCUUAACACAUGCAAGUCGAACGCGCCUGUCCUCUGGGUUUCUGGGGGGUGGGUGAGUGGCGAACGGGUGAGUAACACGUGAGUAACCUGCCCCCUUCUUCGGGAUAACGGUCUGAAAGGGCUGCUAAUACCGGGUAUUCACUGGUCUCCGCAUGGGGUCUGGUGGAAAGGUUUUUUUCUGGUGGGGGAUGGGCUCGCGGCCUAUCAGCUUGUUGGUGGGGUGAUGGCCCACCAAGGCUUUGACGGGUAGCCGGCCUGAGAGGGUGACCGGUCACAUUGGGACUGAGAUACGGCCUAGACUCCUACGGGAGGCAGCAGUGGGGAAUAUUGCACAAUGGGCGCAAGCCUGAUGCAGCGACGCCGCGUGAGGGAUGGAGGCCUUCGGGUUGUGAACCUCUUUCGCCCGUGGUCAAGCCGCGACGUGGGUCGUGGUGAGGGUAGUGGGUAAAGAAGCGCCGGCUAACUACGUG